rnacentral:rRNA from 1 species
GACGGGGGGGGCAAGCGUUGUUCGGAAUUACUGGGCGUAAAGGGCUCGUAGGUGGCCAACUAAGUCAUACGUGAAAUCCCUCAGCUUAACUGGGGAACUGCGUCUGAUACUGGAUGGCUUGAGUUUGGGAGAGGGAUGCGGAAUUCCAGGUGUAGCGGUGAAAUGCGUAGAUAUCUGGAGGAACACCGGUGGCGAAGGCGGCAUCCUGGACCAAUACUGACACUGAGGAGCGAAAGCCAGGGGAGCAAACGGG